UACGGAGGGGGCUAGCGUUGUUCGGAAUUACUGGGCGUAAAGCGUGCGUAGGCGGUUCGUUAAGUCUGUUGUGAAAGCCCCGGGCUCAACCUGGGAAUGGCAAUGGAUACUGGCGAGCUAGAGUGUGUCAGAGGAUGGUGGAAUUCCCGGUGGUAGCGGUGAAAUGCGUAGAGAUCGGGAGGAACAUCAGUGGCGAAGGCGGCCAUCUGGGACAACACUGACGCUGAGGCACGAAAGCGUGGGGAGCAAACAGG
rnacentral:rRNA from 1 species